rnacentral:rRNA from 1 species
UACAGGGGGUGCAAACGUUGCUCGGAAUCAUUGGGCGUAAAGCGCACGUAGGCGGUCUGUUAUGUCGGAUGUGAAAGCCCUUGGCUCAACUGAGGAAGUGCAUCCGAAACUGGCAGGCUAGAGUACUAAAGAGGGUCGCGGAAUUCCCGGUGUAGAGGUGAAAUUCGUAGAUAUCGGGAGGAACACCGGUGGCGAAGGCGGCGACCUGGGUAGAUACUGACGCUGAGGAGCGAAAGCGUGGGGAGCGAACAGG